AGUCGAGCGAGGUAGCAAUACCUAGCGGCAGACGGGUGAGUAACAUGUGGGAAUCUGCCUUUUGGUUCGGAACAACACGGAGAAACCUGUGCUAAUACCGGAUAAGUCCUAACGGAGAAAGUUUUAAUGCCAAAAGAUGAGCCCGCAUUUGAUUAGCUAGUUGGUAAGGUAAAAGCUUACCAAGGCGACAAUCAAUAGCUGAUUUGAGAGGAAGACCAGCCACAUUGGGACUGAGACACGGACCAGACUCC
rnacentral:rRNA from 1 species